GUACACUCCUACGGGAGGCAGCAGUGGGGAAUAUUGGACAAUGGGCGCAAGCCUGAUCCAGCCAUGCCGCGUGAGUGAUGAAGGCCCUAGGGUUGUAAAGCUCUUUCACCGGUGAAGAUAAUGACGGUAACCGGAGAAGAAGCCCCAGCUAACUUCGUGCCAGCAGCCGCGGUAAUACGAAGGGGGCUAGCGUUGUUCGGAUUUACUGGGCGUAAAGCGCACGUAGGCGGACUAUUAAGUCAGGGGUGGAAUCCCGGGGCUCAACCCCGGAACUGCCUUUGAUACUGGUAGUCUUGAGUUCGAGAGAGGUGAGUGGAAUUCCGAGUGUAGAGGUGAAAUUCGUAGAUAUUCGGAGGAACACCAGUGGCGAAGGCGGCUCACUGGCUCGAUACUGACGCUGAGGUGCGAAAGCGUGGGGAGCAAACAGGAUUAGAAACCCUGGUAGUCCCAU
rnacentral:rRNA from 1 species